UACGAAGGAGGCUAGCGUUGCUCGGAAUUACUGGGCGUAAAGGGCGCGUAGGCGGACAGUUAAGUCGGGGGUGAAAGCCCGGGGCUCAACCUCGGAAUUGCCUUCGAUACUGGCUGUCUUGAGUGCGGGAGGGGUGUGUGGAACUCCGAGUGUAGAGGUGAAAUUCGUAGAUAUUCGGAAGAACACCAGUGGCGAAGGCGACACACUGGCCCGUUACUGACGCUGAGGCGCGAAAGCGUGGGGAGCAAACAGG
rnacentral:rRNA from 1 species